rnacentral:rRNA from 1 species
GACGAACGCUGGCGGCGUGCCUAAUACAUGCAAGUUGAGCGCUGAAGGUUGGUACUUGUACCAACUGGAUGAGCAGCGAACGGGUGAGUAACGCGUGGGGAAUCUGCCUUUGAGCGGGGGACAACAUUUGGAAACGAAUGCUAAUACCGCAUAAAAACUUUAAACACAAGUUUUAAGUUUGAAAGAUGCAAUUGCAUCACUCAAAGAUGAUCCCGCGUUGUAUUAGCUAGUUGGUGAGGUAAAGGCUCACCAAGGCGAUGAUACAUAGCCGACCUGAGAGGGUGAUCGGCCACAUUGGGACUGCGACACGGCCCAAACUCCUACGGGAGGCAGCAGUAGGGAAUCUUCGGCAAUGGACGAAAGUCUGACCGAGCAACGCCGCGUGAGUGAAGAAGGUUGUCGGAUCGUAAAACUCUGUUGGUAGAGAAGAACGUUGGUGAGAGUGGAAAGCUCAUCAAGUGACGGUAACUACCCAGAAAGGGACGGCUAACUACGUG